GACGAACGCUGGCGGCGUGCUUAACACAUGCAAGUCGAACGAAGUGGCGAACGGGUGAGUAACGCGUAAUCAACCUGCCCUUCAGAGGGGGACAACAGUUGGAAACGACUGCUAAUACCGCAUACUGAAGGAGGGGAUUGCGUCUGAUUAGCUAGUUGGAGGGGGAACGGCCCACCAAGGCGAUGAUCAGUAGCCGGGCGGGGAGGAUGAACGGCCCAAUUGGGACCGGGAAACGGGCCAGAAUCCUAAGGGAGGCAGCAGUGGGGAAUCCUCCGAAAUGGACGAAAGUCUGACGGAGCAACGCCGGGGGAGUGAUGACGGCCUUCGGGUUGUAAAGCUCUGUUAAUCGGGACGCGGUACCGGAAUAGAAAGCCACGGCUAACUACGUGCCAGCAGCCGCGGUAAUAC
rnacentral:rRNA from 1 species